GACGAACGCUGGCGGCGUGCUUAACACAUGCAAGUCGAGCGGUAAGGCCCUUUCGGGGGUACGACGAGCGGCGAACGGGUGGAGUAACACGUGGGUGACCUGCCCUCAGCUCUGGGAGUAAGCCUGGGAAACGUGGGUCUAAUACUGGAUAUGACUCCACGGUGCAUGUCGUGGGGUGGAAAGCCUUGUGCGGCUGAGGAUGGGCCCGCGGCCUAUCAGCUUGUUGGUGGGGGGAU
rnacentral:rRNA from 1 species